rnacentral:lncRNA from 1 species
GCCCUAGUCCUCUGCCCUAAUUCGCGUCCUCCAGACCUUCCUAUCUAGGGUCAUGUCCUCGGUGAGCUGUAACUGCUCUAUGUCCCGCCUAAUCACCUCACCCCAGAACUUUUUCGGCAUCCCCCUACCCCGCCUAAAACCAUCCAAUGCUAGCCUCUCACACCUACGGACCGGGGCAUCCAUGCCCCUCCUCUUCACGUGUCCGAACCAUCUCAAUCGGGCUUUCUGCAUCUUGCAUUCCACUAAAGUCACACCAACCUUCUCCCGGAUAGUCUCAUUCCGAACUCUAUCCCCUCUAGUCAGCCCACACAUCCAGCGCAACAUCCGCAUUUCC